GAAAUGCGAUAAGUAGUGUGAAUUGCAGAAUUCAGUGAAUCAUCGAAUCUUUGAACGCACAUUGCGCCCUUUGGUAUUCCAAAGGGCAUGCCUGUUCGAGCGUCAUUUGUACCCUCAAGCUUUGCUUGGUGUUGGGCGUCUUGUCUCCAGUUCGCUGGAGACUCGCCUUAAAGUAAUUGGCAGCCGGCCUACUGGUUUCGGAGCGCAGCACAAGUCGCGCUCUCUUCCAGCCAAGGUCAGCAUCCACAAAGCCUUUUUUCAACUUUUGACCUCGGAUCAGGUAGGGAUACACGCUGAACUUAAGC
rnacentral:misc_RNA from 1 species